rnacentral:rRNA from 1 species
GACGAACGCUGGCGGCGUGCUUAACACAUGCAAGUCGAACGGAAAGGCCCUGCUUGCAGGGUGCUCUAGUGGGGAACGGGGGAGUGACACGCGUGUGAACCGCCCUGCACUUCGGGGGAAGCCUUGGGGACUGGGUGUAAAACCGGGGAUGGGCCAUCCUGCGGGUGGUGGGUGGUAGGUUUUUUCGGUGUAGGGUGGGCGCGCGGCCUGUCUGCUUGUUGGUGGGGUAAUGGGCUACCAAGGCGGCGACGGGCAGCCGGCCCGGGAGGGUGGACGGCCGACAUGGGACCGAGGUUCGGCCCAGGCUCCUACCGGAGGGAGCAGGGGGGAAGAUUGCACAAUGGGCGCAAGCCUGGUGCCGCGACGCCGCGUGGGGGAAGACGGCCUUCGGGUUGUAAACCCCUUUCGCUAGGGACGAAGCUUUUUGUGACGGUACCUAGUUAAGAAGCACCGGCUAACUACGUG